AAGACAGCAUGCAGUGUAAAGGGAUAAUAAGCAUAUUAUUGUAUUAUAAAGAUAAUUCACAAUUACAGUUUUAGACACAGAGUGCCAAUUAAUCCAUAUUUCUUACUCGUCUGGGUUUCAUAUAUUUCUAUAAUGAGUGACCAUACGGUGACCAUAACAGUAUCAGGCUACCACUACAUGUCAUUUCAUCAGAUUCUUCCUGUUAAAAUACUUUCUGAAUAACUCAAGGGGUACCCUAAGC